rnacentral:rRNA from 1 species
AUUGAACGCUGGCGGCAUGCUUUACACAUGCAAGUCGAACGGUAACAGGCCGCAAGGUGCUGACGAGUGGCGAACGGGUGAGUAAUGCAUCGGAACGUGCCCAGUCGUGGGGGAUAACGCAGCGAAAGCUGCGCUAAUACCGCAUACGAUCUAUGGAUGAAAGCGGGGGACCGUAAGGCCUCGCGCGAUUGGAGCGGCCGAUGUCAGAUUAGGUAGUUGGUGGGGGAAAGGCUCACCAAGCCAACGAUCUGUAGCUGGUCUGAGAGGACGACCAGCCACACUGGGACUGAGACACGGCCCAGACUCCUACGGGAGGCAGCAGUGGGGAAUUUUGGACAAUGGGCGCAAGCCUGAUCCAGCAAUGCCGCGUGCAGGAAGAAGGCCUUCGGGUUGUAAACUGCUUUUGUACGGAACGAAACGGCUCUCUCUAAUACAGGGGGCUAAUGACGGUACCGUAAGAAUAAGCACCGGCUAACUACGUGCCAGCAGCCGCAGUAAUAC